GGGUUCCUGUCCAACGUUAAUCGGGGCAGGGUGAGUCGACCCCUAAGGCGAGGCCGAAAGGCGUAGUCGAUGGGAAACAGGUUAAUAUUCCUGUACUUGGUGUUACUGCGAAGGGGGGACGGAGAAGGCUAUGUUGGCCGGGCGACGGUUGUCCCGGUUUAAGCGUGUAGGCUGGUUUUCCAGGCAAAUCCGGAAAAUCAAGGCUGAGGCGUGAUGACGAGGCACUACGGUGCUGAAGCAACAAAUGCCCUGCUUCCAGGAAAAGCCUCUAAGCAUCAGGUAACAUCAAAUCGUACCCCAAACCGACACAGGUGGUCAGGUAGAGAAUACCAAGGCGCUUGAGAGAACUCGGGUGAAGGAACUAGGCAAAAUGGUGCCGUAACUUCGGGAGAAGGCACGCUGAUAUGUAGGUGAAGUCCCUCGCGGAUGGAGCUGAAAUCAGUCGAAGAUACCAGCUGGCUGCAACUGUUUAUUAAAAACACAGCACUGUGCAAACACGAAAGUGGACGUAUACGGUGUGACGCCUGCCCGGUGCCGGAAGGUUAAUUGAUGGGGUCAGCGCAAGCGAAGCUCUUGAUCGAAGCCCCGGUAAACGGCGGCCGUAACUAUAACGGUCCUAAGGUAGCGAAAUUCCUUGUCGGGUAAGUUCCGACCUGCACGAAUGGCGUAAUGAUGGCCAGGCUGUCUCCACCCGAGACUCAGUGAAAUUGAACUCGCUGUGAAGAUGCAGUGUACCCGCGGCAAGACGGAAAGACCCCGUGAACCUUUACUAUAGCUUGACACUGAACAUUGAGCCUUGAUGUGUAGGAUAGGUGGGAGGCUUUGAAGUGUGGACGCCAGUCUGCAUGGAGCCGACCUUGAAAUACCACCCUUUAAUGUUUGAUGUUCUAACGUGGACCCGUGAUCCGGGUUGCGGACAGUGUCUGGUGGGUAGUUUGACUGGGGCGGUCUCCUCCUAAAGAGUAACGGAGGAGCACGAAGGUUGGCUAAUCCUGGUCGGACAUCAGGAGGUUAGUGCAAUGGCAUAAGCCAGCUUGACUGCGAGCGUGACGGCGCGAGCAGGUGCGAAAGCAGGUCAUAGUGAUCCGGUGGUUCUGAAUGGAAGGGCCAUCGCUCAACGGAUAAAAGGUACUCCGGGGAUAACAGGCUGAUACCGCCCAAGAGUUCAUAUCGACGGCGGUGUUUGGCACCUCGAUGUCGGCUCAUCACAUCCUGGGGCUGAAGUAGGUCCCAAGGGUAUGGCUGUUCGCCAUUUAAAGUGGUACGCGAGCUGGGUUUAGAACGUCGUGAGACAGUUCGGUCCCUAUCUGCCGUGGGCGCUGGAGAACUGAGGGGGGCUGCUCCUAGUACGAGAGGACCGGAGUGGACGCAUCACUGGUGUUCGGGUUGUCAUGCCAAUGGCACUGCCCGGUAGCUAAAUGCGGAAGAGAUAAGUGCUGAAAGCAUCUAAGCACGAAACUUGCCCCGAGAUGAGUUCUCCCUGACUCCUUGAGAGUCCUGAAGGAACGUUGAAGACGACGACGUUGAUAGGCCGGGUGUGUAAGCGCAGCGAUGCGUUGAGCUAACCGGUACUAAUGAACCGUGAGGCUUAACCU
rnacentral:rRNA from 1 species